AAUCAUGGCUCAGGAUGAACGCUAGCUACAGGCUUAACACAUGCAAGUCGAGGGGCAGCAUGGUCUUAGCUUGCUAAGGCCGAUGGCGACCGGCGCACGGGUGAGUAACGCGUAUCCAACCUGCCUUACACUCUUGGACAACCUUCUGAAAGGGAGAUUAAUACAAGAUGUUAUCAUGAGUAAGCAUUUCGCAUGAUUAAAGGUUUACCGGUGUAAGNGUGGGAUGCGUUCCAUUAAG
rnacentral:rRNA from 1 species